UGGACAUUCAUUUCAGGACUGAUCAGAAAAGCGCAGCAGACAUUGGUCUGGUGUCCUGCUGCCAAGAUGAAUCGGGUGUUUGGUGUGGUCCUUACAGCUGUCCUACUGGCCUUUCAAAUUUCAACUCAGAUGGUCUGGGCACAAGAUGAUCCAAAUAUGCUUACUGCCAGCAGUAUUGCCCCACCUACUGAUGGGACGGACUUAAUCAGUGUUGCCCCAACUGUUGGCAGCUCGGUCUCUGACAGUGUUGCCCCAACUAUAGGCAGUACUGCAUCUGUAACCAAUUCCACCUUCAACCCUACCUCUGGAAGUACUCCUGGGAAGACUGCAGACAAUCCUUUGCUGCUCCUCGCUCUGCUCUUGGUGGUUCCUGUUUAUGCUUUGUGCCAGUGAAGUGGCUGGACUCUUGCCAUCAGUUUAAGCUGCAGCUCUUCAAAGCUGGACAAUCUUGAUCACACUUGGAUUUCCACUUUCUAUCUUGUGUUGGGUUUUCAGUGUAUACACCAAACCAGUCCCUUUCUAAUGUCCUGGUUCAGCUUGUAUCAUGGCAGUUAUGAGGGAGGGAGGUGAUAUUUGAAAUUGUACUGGCUACAAGAUUUAACUGAAUCUUUGGAAGCUUUGUUGUGAAAUACUUCAUUUAAUAAACUUUGUAUAUUUAUAAGUU